AUUGAACGCUGGCGGCAGGCCUAACACAUGCAAGUCGAACGAGUGGCGGACGGGUGAGUAAUGUCUGGGAAACUGCCUGAUGGAGGGGGAUAACUACUGGAAACGGUAGCUAAUACCGCAUACCAUCGGAUGUGCCCAGAUGGGAUUAGCUAGGAGGUGGGGUAACGGCUCACCUAGGCGACGAUCCCUAGCUGGUCUGAGAGGAUGACCAGCCACACUGUAACUGGAACACGGUCCAGACGCCGACGGGGGGCAGCAGUGGGGGAUAUUGCACAAUGGGGGCAAGCCUGAUGCAGCCAUGCCGCGUGUAUGAAGAAGGCCUUCGGGUUGUAAAGUACUUGCAGCGAGAAGGCGUUACCCGCAGAAGAAGCACCAGCUAACUCCGUGCCAGCCGCCGGGGUAAUUC
rnacentral:rRNA from 1 species